ensembl:rRNA 5S_rRNA 5S ribosomal RNA
GUCUACGGCCAUACCACCCUGAACGCGCCCAAUCUUGUCUGAUCUUGGAAGCUAAGCAGGCUUGGGCCUGGUUAAAGUACUAACUUUAUGGAUGGGAGACUGCCUGGGAAUACCGGGUGCUGUAAAAA